AGGGCUGGCCAAAGCAGCCGCGGGAGCCCGGAGAGACAACCGGGUCCUCGAGGAAAGUCCGGACACCGCAGGGCAGGGUGGUCGCUGACACCGACCCGGGGAAACCCGCGGGAAAGUGCCACAGAAACACACCGCCUACGUGCCGGGCCACACGAAAGCGAAUAGCGCGCCUCCGAAGACCGGAGGCUCGCUCGAAAAGCGGUUCAUUGCCGGCAAGGUUGAAAUGGUGCGGUAAGAGCGCACCGGCGUCGCGGUGACGCGGCGGCCAGGCAAACCCCACCCGGUGCAAGGCCAAGCAGGAGCGCCGACGCUGCCCGCCGAGCUCCAGGUAGGCCGCAGGGCCGAAGGGCCCCUCCCGGCGCGAGCGCCGGGGUGAGAUGGAUGGCUGCUCGAGACAGAAUCCGGCUUAGAGGUCGGCUACGGGA
rnacentral:RNase_P_RNA from 1 species